AGUCUAGCCAAUCCUGGUGCACUUACAACAUCAUUUCUGCACCUACAAAAUUAUGGACCAGAUUUUGGAGAGCAACAAGUUCACCAAGGGUUUUGCUCUGUUGUCCUGGCUAGGGUGCAGUGGUAUGAACAUGGCUCACUGCAGCCUUGACCUCCUGUACUCAAGCAAUCCUCCCUCUUCAGUCUCCUGAGUAGUGAGUAGUUGGGACCACAGAGGGUCAGAACUAGAGGUGGUGGAGUGAACGCCGCACCAGGCAAUGGAAGAAGCACUGGCCUAGACCAAGCUUGAGCGUGCACCACUGUCACCUGGAGGGCUUGUUCCAACACGGAUGGCUGGACUCACCCCCAGAAUUUCAGAUUUAUUAGGUCUGCACUGGGCCCUGAGAAUGUUUAUUUAAAACAAAUUCCUGGAUGCUACUGGUUCAGUUGCCACACUCUGAGACCCGCUGGCUUUGAGCUUAGAAGAUGUGGGUUUGAUUCCUGGAUUCCACAGUUUACUAGCUGUGAGUUAGAGAAUUUAAAUUACUUACCUGAGUCUUGGUUUCUUAUUUGCAAACUGAACUGUAAACUAUUUGUUCUACCCAUUUUAUAAGACUUUUGUAAGGAUAAAAUAAAAGAAUACAUAUGCAAAUUACUGAAAAA
rnacentral:lncRNA from 1 species